rnacentral:ncRNA from 12 species
GCUAUUUGAGGUGGGAAAGGUUCCCCAUGCGCUACUUUUAGUAGUUAACAGAGAUGCAGGAUAAGCCGACCUGCCGAAUAGC